UGCAGGGAAAGAUGGUUGAUUGCAGUAGGUUUGUGCAGUUCUCCCUGCUGUAAAUGUUUCCCAGUGUGACACUUCUCAUGGGCAUGAUGUUCACUCUUUAAGUUUUUCUAUUCUUAAUCUUAUCCUUUGGGUCCUUGUGCCCUAUUCCACCCCAGGAGAAUCAUUUUUGCAUUGACACACUGAGUCAGGCCUGUCCUCAGGGCUGGUGUCUGCUCAGCUGCUUGCAGUGCAGUCAUUAGUGUUGUUUACCAGCUUUAUCAUUCCCCACCAAAAUCACUCCAGUUCCCAUAUGUCUUUAGUGUGCACAUAUCCAUGGAUGGCCCCUUGUGCUUAAGGAAGUAUAAAUUAUAUUGCAACAGGUGCAGACAAAGGUGAGCAGGAAAUGAUAAGGGAAGUUGAGAGUUUGCCAUACGAGGGGAGACAAGAAGAGUUGGGCUGGUUUAGCCCACAGAAGGGAAGACCUCGUAGAUUGAAAAGGAUUAGCAAGGCUAAAGAGAUUCAGCAUAAAUGGCCAUUUUAUGGUUAAGGUAGGAAUUGUAGGAUUCUCCAUCGUGGCAAUCAGACUUCAGGGCAGACAGACAGACAAAAAAAAGAUAUAAUGAAUUUUGAGGUAUGUGUCCAUAUAGGGUGUGUCCAGUGAUUGGUUUGUAAUGUUGUAUCCUGAUGCUGCCCACAAACAGGUUGCAGUGGAUGUUGCAGUGUGACCCCUCCUCUCGUGUCUCCAGUUGCCCCAAAAUGAACAGGAGUGCCCUGGUCCUCUGGAUCCCUUUCCUUACUGGACUGUGCAACAUCCUGCUGACAGCAGGGCUCUGCUCAGCCUCCAGCACUAUUUCUGACCACUAUGGACAAAAGGGGUGGGAAAACAAAGAGCUUUUCUCCAGGUAUUCUUGUAACCUGAUCUACAGGGUGACUCAGCCCCUCCCAACAACAGCUGUCUCAGGGAGGUGCAGCGGUUUGGGUGCAGCAUCGAGGGCUGCGCUGCCACUUCCUGAUUUCUGCCUUGGGAGCGAUCGCAGCUGGGACAUGAUCAGAGCAUUUACAUGGACUUCUCAACUCUCCCCAGGAAACAGAGGCCAGGGCCAGCAGGCUGAUUUUGGGACACGGUGCAGAGGAACAGAGGCAUUGGGGGAGUGCACUCACACGGCUUGUGCAGAGCUGCUGCUGUCAAACUGAUGAAGGCAGGAACUCGGGAGAGAAAACUACAUGGAAAGUUCCUCUUAAGGAGAGGAGAGAGGUUUUGUGUGCGUCAUGGCUCACCUCUCCUGCAAACCCUGAAAGUGCUGUGAAACGUGGAAGGGAUCCUCAAGAGAACCGAUGGAAAAGACAGCUGACAUGCUGAACGGCCAGGAUAAGCAGGAAGAGGACACCCCAAAGAGUUCCCCGUUUGACUUUGUUAUAAAACAGUUCCAAGGAAAGAGUUGUGCUCCUGAGAAAGGGAAAGAGCAGCCUUCAGCCAUCAAAAAAUUCUUCAGGGGCUUUGACUUUGGGAAAUCUGAAGGCAAGGACAGAAGGGAAAUUGAAGAAAUCAACAACUCUGGAGCUGAUGAUCAGAGUGAGAAGGAAGAUCUCUCUGUAGAAGAUGGACACUCACAUCUCGUUUCUGAAGCGGAGUCCCCAUCUGGUGAGCAGAGAUUUAAGCAGUUCAUGCAGAAACUGGGGAAGAAACCCAACAGCAAGAAUCUUGAUCUAAAUAACUGUGCAUUGAGUGCAGAAGAUGUAACAGAGCUGGCUUCUUUACUGCCAUUUCUCCCAGAGCUGGAAGAGAUCAGCCUGUCCUGGAAUGGUUGUGUUGGUGGGACUCUGAAAGCUCUCACUGUGCACCUUCAUCACGUGAACCUGUUAAAAGUCCUUCGGCUUAACAACUGCAGGCUGACAGCUGAGGAUGUCAUCUCCUUAGGAGAGGCAUCUGAAAUUGUUUCUCAGCUUGAAGAACUGGAUUUGUCAUGGAACGGUAACAUAGGUGGAAAACUAUCACUGCUGACAAAAAAAGUCCAGAGUGGAUGCAAGUUAAAAUGCCUGAAAAUUACGGACUGUAACCUGACAGCAAAGGAUGGGGAAUCCCUUGCUGAAUUUCUAAACGUGAUCCCAAACCUCGAAGUAUUAGAUCUCUCCAUCAACAAACACAUCGGCUGCAGCGUCAAGGUUAUGGCUCAGGAUUUGAAAAACGUGCCGGGCUUGAAAGAGUUAAACUUGCACAUGUGUGGAUUAAAGCAAGACAGCCUCCAGGGCUUAGACACUGCUUUCCAGCACCUCGCAGAGCUGAGGAAAUUGGACAUAUCGUGUAACAGAGAGAUUGGUGGUGGCUUUAAAGACUCAGCAGCUCAUUUGGCCAGCCUGAAAAAUCUGGAAGUCCUUGAUCUUCACCAGUGCUGCGUCACAGAAGAGGACAUGGCCGCUUUGUCCCAGGUGAUACCUUUACUCUCCAGUCUUCAAGAGCUGAAUUUAUCCUGGAAUAAAAGUGUAGGAGUCUCAUCUGAUCCUCUCCUGGGCCGGCUCAGGUUUCUGCCCAGGCUGAAAUCUGUGGCCAUCAGCAACUGUGGUUUAGGUGAAGAGUCGCUCUCAUCACUAGCUGAGGCUGCCCUUCACCUUCCUGAACUGGAGAUAUUAGACCUAUCUUGGAAUAAGUGCGUUGGUGGCAACCUAAAGCUGCUUUUGGGAGCACUAAAGCUUGCAGUGGAGAUCCAAGUGUUAAGACUGAGCAGCUGUAACUUGGUGGCUGAAGAUUUGGCACUUCUAACAUCUCUGACGCGGGAUGGCCACCUCUCCAGACUGCAGGUGCUGGAUUUGAGUUACAAUGACAGCGUCUCUGAUGAAGGGUGGGCUGUUUUCUGCCGAGGUUUAGCAGCAUCCAAGGAGCUGUCGGAGCUCGAUCUCAGCCUCUGCCCCUCGUCCUGCCGGGCCUGCGGGACCUGGUUCAGUGAGUUGUUGGCAGCACUGGCACAGCUCCCUGCCCUGGCAGAGCUGGGCAUGCAGAGAUGGGGCCUGUCAGAACCCCAGAGGAAACAACUGGAAAACUUUAAUCACGACAACAAAAGGAACAUUCGCUUUGACUGCUGAUGGAGGUGGAAGGUGUCUGGUCCAGCACGUGGAGCAAGUAUUAUGUGUCUGUCACUUAGGAGAUCACACAGCUUUUAAUAAUCUCUUGAAAUAGUUUCACAGUUAUAGAACACUGUUAUUUAACCCUCUGCAUCACAGAUCAUUCCAUUUAACAAGAUACUCUUUGAGAUUCUCUGGGCCACGCUUACACUCUUGCAGACACUUAAUCUUCACGGUGCCCAAAGAGCAGUGCUGGACUCAGAUGGACACACUGCAGGUUUGCCAGUGGAGGGGAUGUGUGUUAAUGCAGGUGGGUGGGCAGUGUGAAUGUGGCCUCAGAAAAUGCCUUUAAUGUGAAAAUACUUGAAACCUCUGUGUUUUAAAUUUUAAGUUUCUUCUCCCCCAAAGCUUUUGCCUCUUUGUGAAUAAGUUAAAUCUACAUAAUUGGGAGAUUUAGAAACCAUCCCAACAACUCAACAUUAUAUAUUAGUCCAGCAAGGAGAACACAGGAGGAGCUGUUUUGCCUCUGCUCUGGCCCUUGAUGCCAUCUCAUUGUGUAGAUGAGUCCUGUGUACAGAAUCAACAUAAUAUCAAGAGCCCAGUUGUGGCAGAGUCAGUCGUGUCAGGGAGCGUGUUAACCCACACGUGAGCUCCGGGACUGCACCGGGAUUAUUCAUCAGUAAGGUAUUUUAGGAAGUAAAGAUAUUAGAUCUGCCCACUGAGUGAGGAGUCUUAGAGAAAUCCUGAGGCAGCUUGAGGGAUAAAGUUCUGCUCAAUUAGCUCUGAGUAUCUCUCCAUGCUGCAGCAAUCUCUCAGAGGAGAAGCACAACAGGAUCGCUCAGUGGCGCUUUCCUAACUUGCUAAGGCCCCUCUCAGCAGGUCCUGUCCUGCCGGUGCUGAUCAAUAUUCACCUUUCAGUCCACGUGAUCCUUCCAACAUCAGCUUUUGGCUGCUCAGGGCUAUCACCAGCAGCUGACAAUGCUGUGCUGAUGCCUAUUGAUCAUUUAAUCCAUGACUUCAUGUGGAAAUCCCCCUGGUUCCAGUUCCAAUUGAAAAGUGCACUUGGCUCCCCCAGCUCUGAGAAACGUGAGUUGAACUGGUGUUGGUCAGAGGCAGCAGGGAAUUGCUGCAGUGUGGGGAUCAGUUAUCUCCUACACAGACCCUCAGCCUCUGAAAUGAACCAAAGAGCCCUUGUUUCAUCCAGGGCUGAUGAGAGGUUUUCAAGCAGUGACUUCAGCCAGCACAGUUGUUGUAAUGUGGAAGUACCAUCAUCGCUGUUUAACAGCAGCACACCAACCUCUUCUCUUAUUCACUUGCUUUCCUCUGACUUUCCUCCUCAAAUAUGCCUUUGGUCCAGCUGGGAAAUGGAUCCUUUAUCUGUUCUGUGAGGAUGUAUCUUAAUCACUCCUUUCCCAUUGUGCCUCUCCCUCUAAUUGGUCUUUAACGUCCAGAUUCUGUUGAAAUUUCCUGGACUUCAGCUCUGUCAUAGCUGGGUCCUCAGCUCCAGAGCGCAUUAUGGACCCACUGCAACAAACUCCCCCCUUGCUGUUCCUGAUCCCCUGCUCAGUCCUUUGCCCUCUCAUGAUUCUGGCAUACCUACUGUGCCACUAAAAAGCUUUUAUUCCUUUUAUCACCUCUAUUAAAUGUCCUGUCUAUCUGCCAGUCUUCCCAGAAAUCUCUCUCUUCCAGUGAUUUCCUCUGAAUUAUCCUUCUCUCUGUUCCUCUUUGCCUUCACUUAGGGUGAAAAAAUUUCACAAGACACUUCCAAACAAUCAAAGCAGCCUCAGUUACCCAGUGAAAUGGAAAAUGAGAACAGAGCCGUCCCACUUUCCUGCAGUCCCAGCUCUCUCCUGCCAACAAGCAUAUUAAUGAGUUUUCAGUGUCCGUCAAGAGCCAAACAGAAAUGAGUUCCAUACCCUGGCUGCAGAUUCAGAGAGCACUCCCUGGAGAUGCAACUUUGGGAAGAGCUGGGUCUCAGUGACCUGCCUGAUUCACCUCCUCCUUCAGGGUGCACAACCUUCCCUGAGGCAACUCAGA